GUCCAGAGAAUAGUUCUGUUAUUGAACUCUGGUUGAUGGAACAGACGGUGGUUCUGUGUCCCGGUCCAGAGUAUAGUUCUGUUAUUGAACUCUGGUUGAUGGAACAGACAGUGGUUCUGUGUCCCGGUCCAGAGAAUAGUUCUGUUAUUGAACUCUGGUUGAUGGAACAGACGGUGGUUCUGUGUCCCGGUCCAGAGAAUAGUUCUGUUAUUGAACUCUGGUUGAUGGAACAGACAGUGGAACAGUAUGUUGAGGGAGAGCUAAAUGAGAGGAAUAAUUUAACUUCAGUGUUUCUGUCUCUUGUACAGAUGGAACUACAAACCGUUUGUUUUAUAGUUGUUCUUUGUGCUGGUAACGUCCUUGAAUAAUUGUGUGUCUCAGAAAACUAGCGUAGUGCCGUCUUAAGCCAGAUCCAUCCGUUUGUUUAGACUUCUGUUUAAUCCUGAAUGUGGACCACAAAAGGAAUCUACUACAGUAUGUCUGGGAAGACCCUAGUAAACACUGCCACACAGUUUCUGCUCUAACAUAGACCAGUCUAGCCUAAGUGAAGCAUUUCAUGUAGAAUCCAAGAAUACAACCAGUCACCAGCAGCUUCAUAAGCAGUAGAAAAACAACACCACUCUGUGUGUUGGACAGAUCCUGUCAGGAUAGAUGUCAGUAUGUUGUGUGUUGGACAGAUCCUGUCAGGAUAGAUGUCAGUAUGUUGUGUGUUGGACAGAUCCUGUCAGGAUAGAUGGCAGUAUGUUGUGUGUUGGACAGAUCCUGUCAGGAUAGAUGGCAGUAUGUUGUGUGUUGGAUAGAUGGCAGUAUGUUGUGUGUUGGACAGAGCCUGUCAGGAUAGAUGGCAGUAUGUUGUGUGUUGGACAGAUGGUAGUAUGUGGUGUGUUGGACAGAGCCUGUCAGGAUAGAUGGCAGUAUGUUGUGUGUUGGAUAGAUGGUAGUAUGUUGUGUGUUGGAUAGAUGGCAGUAUGUUGUGUGUUGGGCAGAGCCUGUCAGGAUAGAUGGCAGUAUGUUGUGUGUUGGACAGAGCCUGUCAGGAUAGAUGGCAGUAUGUUGUGUGUUGGACAGAUCCUGUCAGGAUAGAUGGCAGUAUGUUGUGUGUUGGAUAGAUCCUGUCAGGAUAGAUGGCAGUAUGUUGUGUGUUGGAUAGAGCCUGUCAGGAUAGAUGGCAGUAUGUUGAACCUCCUCUGUGUGUUGGACAGAGCCUGUUAGAUGGCAGUAUGUUGACCCUGAGAACUAGGACUGACCCCUGAGCCCUGAGAAGUAGGACUGACCCCUGAGCCCUGAGAAGUAGGACUGAGCCCUGAGAAGUAGGACUGAGCCCUGAGAAGUAGGACUGAGCCCUGAGAAGUAGGACUGAGCCCUGAGAAGUAGGACUGAGCCCUGAGAAGUAGGACUGAGCCCUGAGAAGUAGGACUGAGCCCUGAGAAGUAGGACUGAGCCCUGAGAAGUAGGACCCAUUUUUUUUUUAUUACCUUUGUUUAACAAGGUCAGUUAAGAACAAAUUCUUAUUUUCAAUGACGGCCUACUGGGGAACAGUGGGUUAACUGCCUUGUUCAGGGGCAGAACAACAGAUUUGUACCUUGUCAGCUCAGGGAUUUGAACUUGUAACCUUUCGGUGACUAGCUCAACGCUCUAACCACUAGGCUACCCUGCCGCCCCUCCUCUCUAACCACUAGGCUACCCUGCCGCCCCUCCUCUCUAACCACUAGGCUACCCUGCCGCCCCUCCCCUCUAACCACUAGGCUACCCUGCCGCCUAUACACUCUAACCACUAGGCUACCUUCCGCCCCUACACUCUAACCACUAGGCUACCCUGCCGCCUCUACACUCUAACCACUAGGCUACCCUGCCGCCUCUCCACUCUAACCACUAGGCUACCUGCCGCCCCUCCACUCUAACCACUAGGCUACCUGCCUCCCCACACAGAGAAAGGUCCACGUAUAUUUUUGCUAUGAUAUACAUCAUAUUCCUAACUGCAACUCUAUUUUUCUAACGUGUGGGUAGGCUCAUGUAAAGCCUGUUUUCAGAUGAAACAUGAUGAAGCCUUUUGUUUUUAGUAAUAAAAUGGUAUAAUUCAGUUCAUGUUCCCUCGUUGCUAAGAUACACCCUCACUGUUCUGUCAGCCUGCCUGAUGGGUAGCCUGGAAUCCAGGAUGUCUUAACAUUCCACUCCUUGCCACUGUUUGGCAUGACAAGGAUUGGCAAGGAGUGGAAUGUUAGCACAAAGAUGACUGGAUUUCAGGCUACGUGUCGGUCAGACUGUUGGAAACCGUUCAGAACCACAAAUAUUGUCAGAAUGAACGUGAAACACUUUUAAAUCAUGUUUUUAGUUUUGGACAAGUCCCUGAAAUUAACGCCUUUAUUCAAUUGAACCUGAAUUCAUUUUUUCCAUCUGAAAAUGGAACUAGCAGAUCUAUCCAGAUGUCUCUUUUACUUUCUUUUGGCACAAUGCCUUUUUAGUUAUGACCCUCACUGACGUUCAGUUGUCGUGGCCCCCAGUCUGUUCUGGUUAUGACCCUCACUGACGUUCAGUUGUCGUGGCCCCCAGUCUGUUCUG
ensembl:lncRNA